rnacentral:rRNA from 1 species
GACGUAGGGCGCGAGCGUUUGUCCGGAUUUAUUGGGCGUAAAGAGCUCGUAGGCGGCUUGUCGCGUCUGCUGUGAAAACCCGAGGCUCAACCCCGAACUUGCAGUGGGUACGGGCAGACUAGAGUGUGGUAGGGGGAGACUGGAAUUCCUGGUGUAGCGGUGAAAUGCGCAGAUAUCAGGAGGAACACCAGUGGCGAAGGCGGUUGCCUGGAGCUUUGCUGACGCUGAUGCGCGAAAGCGUGGGGAGCGAUCCGG